rnacentral:tRNA from 1 species
ACCGAUCGCGUGGCUGACCCAGAUCUCGUCGUCCGGCUCCGCGCUGCUGCGCAGCAGCGCCUCGCCCGCUGGGACC